UGAAAAAUGAAUGUGCCAGCACUUUACAUUCCACCACGGUAAUAAGAUGGUAAUAGUUGGGUAACAGUGUGAUA